GAUGAACGCUGGCGGCGUGCUUAACACAUGCAAGUCGAACGAAGCACUUUAACCUGAUUCUUCGGAUGAGGGUUUUUGUGACUGAGUGGCGGACGGGUGAGUAACGCGUGGGUAACCUGCCUCAUACAGGGGGAUAACAGUUAGAAAUGACUGCUAAUACCGCAUAAGACCACAGCACCGCAUGGUGCAGGGGUAAAAACUCCGGUGGUAUGAGAUGGACCCGCGUCUGAUUAGGUAGUUGGUGGGGUAACGGCCUACCAAGCCGACGAUCAGUAGCCGACCUGAGAGGGUGACCGGCCACAUUGGGACUGAGACACGGCCCAAACUCCUACGGGAGGCAGCAGUGGGGAAUAUUGCACAAUGGGGGAAACCCUGAUGCAGCGACGCCGCGUGAGCGAUGAAGUAUUUCGGUAUGUAAAGCUCUAUCAGCAGGGAAGAAAAUGACGGUACCUGACUAAGAAGCACCGGC
rnacentral:rRNA from 1 species